rnacentral:rRNA from 1 species
CGUAGGUGCAAGCGUUAAUCGGAAUUACUGGGCGUAAAGCGUGCGCAGGCGGCUUUGCAAGACAGAUGUGAAAUCCCCGGGCUUAACCUGGGAACUGCAUUUGUGACUGCAUGGCUGGAGUGCGGCAGAGGGGGGAUGGAAUUCCGCGUGUAGCAGUGAAAUGCGUAGAUAUGCGGAGGAACACCGAUGGCGAAGGCAAUCCCCUGGGCCUGCACUGACGCUCAUGCACGAAAGCGUGGGGAGCAAACAGGAUUAGAUACCCUGGUAGUCCACGCCCUAAACGAUGUCAACUGGUUGUUGGACGGCUUGCUGUUCAGUAACGAAGCUAACGCGUGAAGUUGACCGCCUGGGGAGUACGGCCGCAAGGUUG